rnacentral:tRNA from 1 species
UGCAAGUCUCAUUUGGUAGAGCAUGAGACUCUUAAUCUCAAGGAUGUGGGUUCGAGUCCCACAUUGGGCUAAA